GGAGUCGUAUCGAAGCGGCCGUAACGAGGCGCACUCGAAAUGCGUUUGUCGGUUCAUCCCGGCACGAGGGUUCGAAUCCCUCCGACUCCG
rnacentral:tRNA from 1 species